rnacentral:rRNA from 1 species
CUGCGCGGAAGAUGUAACGGGGCUAAACCAUGCACCGAAGCUGCGGCAGCGAACGUAUCACUUAAAGCGAUUCAGCGGGUUACGAUUGACGGAGCGAAGCGACGUCAAAGCGUAUACAAAGUCGAGUCGGUUUAAGGAUACGUUCGUUGGGUAGGGGAGCGUUCUGUAAGCCUGCGAAGGUGGCCUGUGAGGGUUGCUGGAGGUAUCAGAAGUGCGAAUGCUGACAUAAGUAACGAUAAAGCGGGUGAAAAGCCCGCUCGCCGGAAGACCAAGGGUUCCUGUCCAACGUUAAUCGGGGCAGGGUGAGUCGACCCCUAAGGCGAGGCCGAAAGGCGUAGUCGAUGGGAAACGGGUUAAUAUUCCCGUACUUGGUGUUACUGCGAAGGGGGGACGGAGAAGGCUAUGUUGGCCGGGCGACGGUUGUCCCGGUUUAAGCGUGUAGGCUGGUUUUCCAGGCAAAUCCGGAAAAUCAAGGCUGAGGCGUGACGACGAGGCACUACGGUGCUGAAGCAACAAAUGCCCUGCUUCCAGGAAAAGCCUCUAAGCAUCAGGUAACACGAAAUCGUACCCCAAACCGACACAGGUGGUCAGGUAGAGAAUACCAAGGCGCUUGAGAGAACUCGGGUGAAGGAACUAGGCAAAAUGGUGCCGUAACUUCGGGAGAAGGCACGCUGACACGUAGGUGAAGUGAUUUACUCAUGGAGCUGAAGUCAGUCGAAGAUACCAGCUGGCUGCAACUGUUUAUUAAAAACACAGCACUGUGCAAACACGAAAGUGGACGUAUACGGUGUGACGCCUGCCCGGUGCCGGAAGGUUAAUUGAUGGGGUCAGCGCAAGCGAAGCUCCUGAUCGAAGCCCCGGUAAACGGCGGCCGUAACUAUAACGGUCCUAAGGUAGCGAAAUUCCUUGUCGGGUAAGUUCCGACCUGCACGAAUGGCGUAAUGAUGGCCAGGCUGUCUCCACCCGAGACUCAGUGAAAUUGAACUCGCUGUGAAGAUGCAGUGUACCCGCGGCAAGACGGAAAGACCCCGUGAACCUUUACUAUAGCUUGACACUGAACAUUGAGCCUUGAUGUGUAGGAUAGGUGGGAGGCUUUGAAGCGUGGACGCCAGUCUGCGUGGAGCCGACCUUGAAAUACCACCCUUUAAUGUUUGAUGUUCUAACGUGGACCCGUUA